UGGGGUGGUUGUCUGAUGUUUCUUUCUUUAACCACAUUAAAAAAAUAUGGCGACCACGUCGACCACGUUGCGAGAUGCCGGCUGCCGGGAUUUAUUUUUCGCCAUUAAUAAAAUAAUAAUUACCGCCUACUUCAACAAUUGGUGUCGUACGAAAACAGCAGUGCAAUGUACCAUAGAGAGUGUGGGUUGUGGUCGUGGAGAAAAUCAGUUUCAACUAGUUAAAUUAAUAAGAAUAGUAGAACUUCAGUGAAGGGUGUAGUAAAAGUUGAGUUCAGAAUUUAAAAUCUUUCAAUAAUUCUGAAUGUGCUAAAAAUCGAAUUUUUUAUUCUUUUUAAGUUCCAGACAUACAACAUUUUCUUGUUUUAGUUGCAAGUGGUUGCAAUGAUGGUGUACCAAUGGUGAAGGCAGAAUGAGAAACAGGUUUUAGGACAAGAAAAAUCACAGUGACACAAGAAAUAGUCAUCCUGUUAGACUCUGGAAUAUUUGCAUUUCAACCGAUAUUGGUGCAAAUACUGAUUCUAUAAGUCACAUCUUUGCAGAAGAAAUGGCAGCCUGGAAGAAAUUGGCGGUGGUGAUUGGUGUGAAUUUAGAAAUUGAGGCAGGUGUUUCCCACAAUGUACUUGACGAAAGAACUUGAAGGCACUGUAAGCCAAUGCUAUCUGGAAUUUCGCUAGAAAUGUCUUUCAGACAGUCAUAAACGUUGAGAAAAAAGAAGAACCUGAACUCAAAAUAGAACCAGAAGAACCAUAUAGCAUAUAUACUACCGGUAUAACUCUCCAAGACCCACGUGCUCAAAGACUACAUGUAUUAUUAUGGCAUGCUCUUGUUCAUUUACGACUAAUGGUUUUGGUGGAGUCAUCAAAUUGGGCAUUGGAAAGCUAGCUGCAAAGAUUUGUAAACUAGUACACGAGCAAUCCACUUCCGGUCGGUAAGAACCAGGCGUCCUAGAAGAGACACUAUAAAUGUAAAUGUCGUUCAAGUUUUCCAUUACCAAACCUUUAUCGGCUUCAUUAUCUCAAAGGACAAAGGCAUAGAGGAAUAGGAAACAUUUUCAUUUCUUUCCCAAUCCAAAGCUAAUGAGCAAAUUUUUCUUUCUAACUAAUCCGGAAACACAAAAUGAUGAAAUUCGUCUUUACGGUCAACUAGUUCGACCGUAUCAUGAGUGAACCAACUAGCCUGAUGUCAUUCAAGAUUUCCAUCACGGUCCCAAGAAUAAUUCCCCGGCUUGGAUUUUCUCAUUGGCCUGACCUCUCUUAAAGAGUCUCUCGUUUUUCCGCACAAACGGCUUUGUGUUGCUACAGAAAGGGUGUUGUUUCUCCGUAAUGAAAGUUAAAAGGGAGACUAGCCUAUAAUUUCCACAUCGCCUGAAACUGCUGUCCAUUUUGCUAGUCUUCGUUAUAGAAGAAAUUCUGCCAUCUCUUCAUCGAUGAGAGACUUGCUGUAACGUUUUGUCAGAAACACUACAGUUAAAGUAAUAAUGAAUGCUAGGUUUUAGCGAACUUAAAUGCGUUGUUCAAGUUUUGUGAGUAGACCAGUCCUGCAAUCAAAUACUGAGUUUUGAGACGUGUCAAAUAGAUGGCGUGUUGAUUGUAUCAGUAAUCGGCUAUGGCGGUUUGCUGUCAAAAGUUAAGCUUUCUUUUCUUCGAAAAUUAAUAAUGAAUUCAUAGGUAAAUUCGAAUUUUUCGUCCGUAACUUGUCGGUGAUGUGUUCUAUUCCGUGUAUAUGUUAAACAACUCUAAUGUUUCUCAUCAACUUACAGUAGGAAACGUGUAAGGGUCGUGCAGCCUAUUGUCAAAGUUCUAUUUUGUUCAAAAUAAUUGUAUUCUACUGAAUGUGCCAUCGAAAUUAUGCAGGUGUCAUCAUAAUUAUCUGCUGUUUGUAUUGGACUUGCUAGAUCACCAACCUCAGCAUAGACCAAUCUCUCAUUCCAUCAUUCUAGAUAAACUUGGAUAACUGAUGGGUGGUUUCAUGUGUUCUAAAUUAGAGGUUUCUAAAUUGGCAUGACCAACUUUAUGAGAAGUCAUGUCCUUUCAAGAAAAGGACAAGGACUAUACAGUCCUUCCUUGUUUGCUAACCUGUUGGCUGCAACCCUUGAAUCUCCAUUAUUUACUUCCUUACACGGGCCCUCCUGAUUUGAGAAUAAUCCUUCACUACUGAUCAUGGACUUCAUCCAUUGGUGAAAACGGACGAGAGAAUGCUGUAAUCCAAGACUGAUUAAUUGUGUAGUU